rnacentral:rRNA from 1 species
GGGUUGUGAGGUUAAGCGACUAAGCGUACACGGUGGAUGCCCUGGCAGUCAGAGGCGAUGAAGGACGUGCUAAUCUGCGAAAAGCGUCGGUAAGGUGAUAUGAACCGUUAUAACCGGCGAUGUCCGAAUGGGGAAACCCAGUGUGAUUCGUCACACUAUCGUUAACUGAAUACAUAGGUUAACGAGGCGAACCGGGGGAACUGAAACAUCUAAGUACCCCGAGGAAAAGAAAUCAACCGAGAUUCCCCCAGUAGCGGCGAGCGAACGGGGAGCAGCCCAGAGUCUGAAUCAGCUUGUGUGUUAGUGGAACGGUCUGGAAAGUCCGACGGUACAGGGUGAUAGUCCCGUACACCAAAAUGCACAGGUUGUGAACUCGAAGAGUAGGGCGGGACACGUGGUAUCCUGUCUGAAUAUGGGGGGACCAUCCUCCAAGGCUAAAUACUCCUGACUGACCGAUAGUGAACCAGUACCGUGAGGGAAAGGCGAAAAGAACCCCGGCGAGGGGAGUGAAAAAGAACCUGAAACCGUGUACGUACAAGCAGUGGGAGCACCUUCGGGUGUGACUGCGUACCUUUUGUAUAAUGGGUCAGCGACUUAUAUUCUGUAGCAAGGUUAACCGUAUAGGGGAGCCGCAGGGAAACCGAGUCUUAACUGGGCGUUAAGUUGCAGGGUAUAGACCCGAAACCCGGUGAUCUAGCCAUGGGCAGGUUGAAGGUUGGGUAACACUAACUGGAGGACCGAACCGACUAAUGUUGAAAAAUUAGCGGAUGACUUGUGGCUGGGGGUGAAAGGCCAAUCAAACCGGGAGAUAGCUGGUUCUCCCCGAAAGCUAUUUAGGUAGCGCCUCGUGAAUUCAUCUUCGGGGGUAGAGCACUGUUUCGGCUAGGGGGUCAUCCCGACUUACCAACCCGAUGCAAACUACGAAUACCGAAGAAUGUUAUCACGGGAGACACACGGCGGGUGCUAACGUCCGUCGUGAAGAGGGAAACAACCCAGACCGCCAGCUAAGGUCCCAAAGUCAUGGUUAAGUGGGAAACGAUGUGGGAAGGCACAGACAGCCAGGAUGUUGGCUUAGAAGCAGCCAUCAUUUAAAGAAAGCGUAAUAGCUCACUGGUCGAGUCGGCCUGCGCGGAAGAUGUAACGGGGCUAAACCAUGCACCGAAGCUGCGGCAGCGACACUAUGUGUUGUUGGGUAGGGGAGCGUUCUGUAAGCCUGCGAAGGUGACCUGUGAGGGUUGCUGGAGGUAUCAGAAGUGCGAAUGCUGACAUAAGUAACGAUAAAGCGGGUGAAAAGCCCGCUCGCCGGAAGACCAAGGGUUCCUGUCCAACGUUAAUCGGGGCAGGGUGAGUCGACCCCUAAGGCGAGGCCGAAAGGCGUAGUCGAUGGGAAACAGGUUAAUAUUCCUGUACUUGGUGUUACUGCGAAGGGGGGACGGAGAAGGCUAUGUUAGCCGGGCGACGGUUGUCCCGGUUUAAGCAUGUAGGCUGGUUGUCCAGGCAAAUCCGGAUAAUCAAGGCUGAGGUGUGAUGACGAGGCACUACGGUGCUGAAGUAACAAAUGCCCUGCUUCCAGGAAAAGCCUCUAAGCAUCAGGUAACAUCAAAUCGUACCCCAAACCGACACAGGUGGUCAGGUAGAGAAUACCAAGGCGCUUGAGAGAACUCGGGUGAAGGAACUAGGCAAAAUGGUGCCGUAACUUCGGGAGAAGGCACGCUGGUGUGUAGGUGAAGUCCCUGCGGAUGGAGCUGAGACCAGUCGAAGAUACCAGCUGGCUGCAACUGUUUAUUAAAAACACAGCACUGUGCAAACACGAAAGUGGACGUAUACGGUGUGACGCCUGCCCGGUGCCGGAAGGUUAAUUGAUGGGGUUAUCCGUAAGGAGAAGCUCUUGAUCGAAGCCCCGGUAAACGGCGGCCGUAACUAUAACGGUCCUAAGGUAGCGAAAUUCCUUGUCGGGUAAGUUCCGACCUGCACGAAUGGCGUAAUGAUGGCCAGGCUGUCUCCACCCGAGACUCAGUGAAAUUGAACUCGCUGUGAAGAUGCAGUGUACCCGCGGCAAGACGGAAAGACCCCGUGAACCUUUACUAUAGCUUGACACUGAACAUUGAGCCUUGAUGUGUAGGAUAGGUGGGAGGCUUUGAAGCGUGGACGCCAGUCUGCGUGGAGCCAACCUUGAAAUACCACCCUUUAAUGUUUGAUGUUCUAACGUUGGCCCCUUACCGGGGUUGCGGACAGUGUCUGGUGGGUAGUUUGACUGGGGCGGUCUCCUCCCAAAGCGUAACGGAGGAGCACGAAGGUUAGCUAAUCCUGGUCGGACAUCAGGAGGUUAGUGCAAUGGCAUAAGCUAGCUUGACUGCGAGCGUGACGGCGCGAGCAGGUGCGAAAGCAGGUCAUAGUGAUCCGGUGGUUCUGAAUGGAAGGGCCAUCGCUCAACGGAUAAAAGGUACUCCGGGGAUAACAGGCUGAUACCGCCCAAGAGUUCAUAUCGACGGCGGUGUUUGGCACCUCGAUGUCGGCUCAUCACAUCCUGGGGCUGAAGUAGGUCCCAAGGGUAUGGCUGUUCGCCAUUUAAAGUGGUACGCGAGCUGGGUUUAGAACGUCGUGAGACAGUUCGGUCCCUAUCUGCCGUGGGCGCUGGAGAAUUGAGGGGGGCUGCUCCUAGUACGAGAGGACCGGAGUGGACGCAUCACUGGUGUUCGGGUUGUCAUGCCAAUGGCACUGCCCGGUAGCUAAAUGCGGAAGAGAUAAGUGCUGAAAGCAUCUAAGCACGAAACUUGCCCCGAGAUGAGUUCUCCCUGAGACUUUAAGUCUCCUGAAGGAACGUUGAAGACGACGACGUUGAUAGGCCGGGUGUGUAAGCGCAGCGAUGCGUUGAGCUAACCGGUACUAAUGAACCGUGAGGCUUAACCUUACAACGCCGAAG